ensembl:lincRNA
GCACAAUGGUGCUGCUUUGCAGCCUUGGGACUCCAAGAGGAGUUGUUCAGGGGAUUAGCAGCAUGGGCAUCACAAGGGAGCAUGUUAGAAAUGCAGAAUCCCAGGCCCCACCAGUUUGAGAAGCUCUGCCAAGUGCCCUGUACCUAUGGAAACCAUUAGCACUUGCUAGAGACUGGAAGCUGAACAAAUAGUGAAACCCAGGGAGCCACAGCAACCCCGACUGUAGGCCUACAAUCCAAUCACAAGAGGGGUAGAUUCCAUCCCAUCACUACCCAGCUGCCCCACGUCACCACUCACUCUUCUCAUUGCGGUGGGGCUGGCCAACUUGGCUGUGAAAUCUGAGGUUGGUGUUAGGGUGAGUUACUCAAAUAUUUGCACACACACUGAAAGGACAAGGACGACAGCAGGGGGUGGAUACAAUUAGAGUGGCUCUUUGCAGGUUGCAAAUCAAUUUUGAUACCCUCCCACCCUCCACACACUACACCUGUAUCAACAUGUUCCCCAGCUGCGAUGCAGCUAGCAAGCAACACCAACAGCACAAGGCAGGACUCUUCAAGCUGUUUCCAGAAUGUCCAACUAGUCUGGACUCUGUCAGAUCUUCCUCUGGGCAGGAAGUUGUCCUGGUCUGAGCUUCCCUUCCUACCGGAGCCCAGCAAGAGAAUCCCCACACAAAUCUAGAAUGGAGGAGAAAUGGAAAGAAGAGAAACUAAUGGCAAGUCAGUGAUGAGCUUGUGCUUUGCAGUCCAGAGAGAAUACAAGCAGAACCCUACUUUCUUCUCAGGUGGCAGAGCACAAGAAGAACAGUGUAGAAGGAUGGAGAAGAGAAUUGGGAUCCACAAGAAGACACAAAAGGAGCCCAGCUGGACUCGCUGGAACAUUAAAUCUAUCAGGAAAGUGAAAGAUCUGCAGAUGAGCCUGCAGGCAAUCUGACCGGCUAUAAGAACAGAAGCGGAGACUUGACUAUUCUCACUUUUCCCAAGGAACCCGAAGCCACCACCCAAUGGAAGUGUCCUUUAUGAUAUAUAUGUUUCAUUCAGCAAAUGUUUAUCAAGCACUUAUACUGUGUCAGGCAUUGUUUUCAAUGCUUUGUAUGUAAGAGCACUAAAGGUGCUAAACUCCAACCUGUCCUCUGUCAAGGAUUCCUUAAGUUUGUUCUCUAAACACAAAAUCCCUGACUGCUAUCUCUCCUACACAAAUCUUUCUCAUCUUACAACAGCCAGAUUCAGACUUUGCACCUUCUUCCCUAGCGGCAGUUAGAGACACUUUUUCUGAGGAAAAGAAAAUGUAGUGCAGUAGUUUACUGUACUUUAGUUAUUAUGAGCAGGCAGCCAGAAAGGCUUAACUAGGGUAAAUAACAAAAUAAAAUAAAAUAGCCCACCAAGGUUAAGAGCAAAUUUAAACAGCUAAGCCAAGCUUAGAGAUGAGAAAAAGAAAGGUUGGGAUAAAUAUUAAAAAAAUAAGGGCUCUUCCCUCAAAAUGAAAACGAAAGCCAAAACUCUUAUCCAGAAUGUGCUAGCAGCUUUAACAGCUCCUCUUUAGCUCCAGAUCUAAAUCUAAUCUUUCAAAAAUUAAAAUACAAAAUAAUCAGUUUCUUUUUAAACUUGUCUUCUUUAAAACAAGCCCCUCCC